rnacentral:rRNA from 1 species
UACGUAGGGCGCAAGCGUUAUCCGGAAUUAUUGGGCGUAAAGAGCUCGUAGGCGGCUUGUCGCGUCGUCCGUGAAAACCUGCGGCUCAACUGCAGGCUUGCGGUCGAUACGGGCAGGCUAGAGUUCGGUAGGGGAGACUGGAAUUCCUGGUGUAGCGGUGAAAUGCGCAGAUAUCAGGAGGAACACCGGUGGCGAAGGCGGGUCUCUGGGCCGAUACUGACGCUGAGGAGCGAAAGCGUGGGGAGCGAACAGG